rnacentral:rRNA from 1 species
AGAUUGAACGCUGGCGGCAUGCCUAACACAUGCAAGUCGAACGGGAGUAGCAAUACUCUAGUGGCGGACGGGUGAGGAAUACGUAGGAAUUUGCCCUUAAGUGGGGGAUAACCCGGGGAAACCCGGAUUAAUACCGCAUGACCUCGAAAGAGCAAAGUGGGGGAUCGCAAGACCCCACGCUUUUGGAGAAGCCUACGUCGGAUUAGCUAGUUGGUGAGGUAAUGGCUCACCAAGGCGACGAUCCGUAACUGGUCUGAGAGGAUGAUCAGUCACACCGGAACUGAGACACGGUCCGGACUCCGUACGGGAGCAGCAGUGGGGAAUAUUGGACAAGU